rnacentral:rRNA from 1 species
UACGGGGGGGGCAAGCGUUGUUCGGAAUUACUGGGCGUAAAGGGCUCGUAGGCGGCCAACUAAGUCAGACGUGAAAUCCCUCGGCUCAACCGGGGAACUGCGUCCGAUACUGGAUGGCUUGAAUCCGGGAGAGGGAUGCGGAAUUCCAGGUGUAGCGGUGAAAUGCGUAGAUAUCUGGAGGAACACCGGUGGCGAAGGCGGCAUCCUGGACCGGCAUUGACGCUGAGGAGCGAAAGCCAGGGGAGCAAACGGG